ACCGCCCCCGACUCUCUCUCUCUCUCUCUCUCUCUCUCUCUCUCUCUCUCUCUCUCUCUCCUCCAGCUUUCUUUUUGUUUGAAAAGAAGCAACGCCGUCAGAUCUGGCGAUCUGUGAUCGUUACCCCUGAAAACGUCGCUCGAUGCCACUGCACCUAAACGCGUUUGCUAUGUCCGCUGCACUCGAUCGUGUUGAUGAGCAGGUAGCCAAGGACAUAUAACUGCUAGAUUCCAUUGCUGAGAAGCAACCCCAAAUCUUCUCUGAAGAAUGCAAGUAUUAUUGAAGUAAAGAGUUUGAUUUUUUUCACCGGAGUUUGAAGAUGAGAUCAUAAUGCUGGAACCCUGAAGAGAUCCCAUGGGGUACGACUGGUACUGAGUAUGUUGCAAAAAGGAGGUCCGUAGCAAAUAAUGAUGAGGGAUUGCUAUGUGUGCAGAAGACCAUGUUAUGAAUGAGCCGUUCUAAAUCCUGUUUUCCCAGACAGUUCUUCAAACUUUUUAUUCCACUUGCUAAUGUUCCUUGAUACAAAUCAUGCAGUCCCUAUAUUUCUAUAUGGAGCAGUAGAUGAGCAAGCAAGGACCCUUGAUUCAACCAGUAGAAUUGCUAGAUAGGUGAGUAUGUAUGCACUCUCCUUGUCGCUGGUGGAGUCUGAUCCAAAUGCUCCUUUUGGUUAUGGCUUGUGUUUUUUGAACUUAGCAAUGGAUGGAUUCACGAAUGCAACUCAGGAUUCCAUAACUGCAAGGUUUGUCAGUUCAUGAGUUGAUUGUUUCUCCUCUUGUUGGUGAACUUGUGCUUUCUGAAAAUAUUAUCUUUCUGAAACAGAACAUUAUUUACUUCGAUCUUGCAUCUAACUUCAAAAUUUCUUUCUCCUUUUCUU